rnacentral:rRNA from 1 species
GUGAGGAAUAUUGGUCAAUGGGCGAGAGCCUGAACCAGCCAAGUCGCGUGAAGGAAGAAGGAUCUAUGGUUCGUAAACUUCUUUUGCAGGGGAAUAAAGUGCGGGACGUGUCCUGUUUUGUAUGUACCCUGAGAAUAAGGAUCGGCUAACUCCGUGCCAGCAGCCGCGGUAAUACGGAGGAUCCGAGCGUUAUCCGGAUUUAUUGGGUUUAAAGGGUGCGUAGGUGGUUUGAUAAGUCAGCGGUGAAAGUUUGCAGCUUAACUGUAAAAAUGCCGUUGAAACUGUCGGACUUGAGUGUAAAUGAGGUAGGCGGAAUGCGUGGUGUAGCGGUGAAAUGCAUAGAUAUCACGCAGAACUCCGAUUGCGAAGGCAGCUUACUAAGCUACAACUGACACUGAAGCACGAAAGCGUGGGGAUCAAACAGGAUUAGAACCCCCGGUAGUCC